ensembl:lncRNA
AUGACACUGAGGGGGGCUCAGAGAGGUGAAGAGCACAGCCUCUUGGUUCCUGGCUACACGGGGCUGACUAUCGAGCUCUCCAAGGGAAGGAGGGGGCCUACGCCCACCUACAGGGUGAGGAGGGAAGGGCCAGAAACGCUGGCACCUUUGCAUGCCUUUUCUGUGAGCUUCAUCUUUGAGCAAGUCAUUCCAACUCCAGUGCCUCAAUUCCCUCAUCCGUUAAAUGGGCGUGAACAGAAAUGGUCAGGUGGUUCUUACAGUCCCUUGCGCUCAGACUUUGAGAGUUAUACCUGCUUCCCUCCCCACCCUGCUCAGGGCUCUCCUGACACCUGUCCUGACCACAGUGGGUGGGUUAAUCACUGAUCAUGUCCAGCAGUCAACUUGGUCACCAAGUGUGCUACCAGACAGCCUCAGGCUGCUGGCCAAAGAGUUGCUGCCCCAUCUCUUCCAGCCUUAGUCUGGCACUCUGAUGCAUGAGGACAUUUAUGGAUAUGCAGGUGAGUGGAGCCAUUUGGUCACAUUUCCUGGGACCCUUCUGAGCCAGCCACUGGGCCUUGCCCUUAAGAGACUCCCAGGACAGUGAGAUGACUAUGGAUAGGAGGCUUGAGGAAUGAGGGCUGAAGCCAACCAGUAUUUACUGAGCACCUGCUCCAAGCCAGGCCCAGGACUGGCCAGGGCAUGGCAAAACUGAGUAAGUAGCCAUGGUGCAGUUUCUCAUGCUUAGGGGCAGGUACGGGUUUCAAAGUCAGCUAAUCAGGUUUAAACCCUGGUCUGAUGCUCUUUUGGGGAAGGUAUUUAGCCUUUCUACAUCUCAAUUUUUCUAUCUGGAAAAUGGGGAUGCCAAUAGUGCACAGUGAUGGGGUUGUAGUAAGGAUUGAAGGAGUCGGUGUGUAGAGCCCUGGGCGUGGUCAUUGCAACUCUCGUUUUGUGAGCACCAACUCUGUACCAGAAACUGUCAUGGCAUUUGAUGUAAACCACAUCCCUUACAGAGGAGGAAAGCACUUCUGGCUGAGCUGAGAGUGAGGCUGCAUAUAGGAGCCGGUACCACUGUCUGGUCUUGAAAGAUGGAGUUAAAUUCCAUAGGUGGCAAUGGGUGAGGGUAUUCCCAGGAUGGGGAACAGCACAGGCAAAGGCAUGGAGGAAGGCAAAAAAUGUGCUGGGGGAACUCUGACAGGACCAGUCAGACUAAAAGGCAAGGGAGAUCAAAUUGGAAAGUAGGCUUAGGCCAGAUGAACAUCUAGACCACAGAAUGUGGCCUUUACCCUGUAGGCAAAGGGGAGCCACAGAUGGUUGUUGAGCAAGGGGAUCAAAGGGAGAUGGAACUGCUGUAUUUAAAAGAGGCAGCAGAGUAAAUUUCCUUAGAUGAUAAUAACAAGAGUGAUCAUCAGAAACAUGUCAUUUUGUAGACUCUAAAGUUCACUGAGUGUUUUCAUGGGUACAACUUCAUCUGAUCAUUAUGGCAAUGCUGUGGGGUGAGUUGAGCAGAGAUUAUUGCACCUGCUUCACAGAUAGGAGGAUGAGGCUUAUCCAAGGUUGCCCAGCAGGUUGAUGGCAAAGCCAGGAGCUAACAUGGGUCACCUGGUCAGCAUCAGCAUGGAUGGCCCAGUGUGAGUGAGGGACAUAGGUCCACAUCUCAUGGCUGCCCAGGAGAAACGAACUACCUUCUCAAGCCCCAUCCUUAAGCUUGAAAAUGUGUCUGUGUAUGGAGGGGUCAUGAGGAUGCCUGUGCAGGGAGCCCUCCAGUCAUGCCAGCGCCAAGUCUUCUGUACUUCUGGCCCAUUGCCAGGGGCCAGCAAGUGCUAAGCCAGAACGCAUCUAACUUCUGCUGAUUGUAC